rnacentral:rRNA from 1 species
UACGUAGGGGGCAAGCGUUGUCCGGAUUUAUUGGGCGUAAAGAGCUCGUAGGUGGUUCGGUAAGUCGGAUGUGAAAUCUCCAGGCUCAACCUGGAGGGGUCAUUCGAUACUGCCGUGACUAGAGGUCGGUAGGGGAGUGUGGAAUUCCUGGUGGAGCGGUGAAAUGCGCAGAUAUCAGGAGGACCACCCGUAGCGAAGGCGGCACUCUGGGCCGAUACUGACACUGAGGAGCGAAAGCGUGGGGAGCGAACAGG